GUGAGGAAUAUUGGUCAAUGGGCGAGAGCCUGAACCAGCCAAGUCGCGUGAAGGAAGACGGCCCUACGGGUUGUAAACUUCUUUUGCAAUGGAAUAAAAAGAGUUACGUGUAAUUCAUUGUAUGUACAUUGCGAAUAAGGAUCGGCUAACUCCGUGCCAGCAGCCGCGGUAAUACGGAGGAUCCGAGCGUUAUCCGGAUUUAUUGGGUUUAAAGGGUGCGUAGGCGGAUUGGAAAGUCAGCGGUGAAAGUUUGCAGCUUAACUGUAAAAUUGCCAUUGAAACUGUCAGUCUUGAGUGCAAAUGAGGUAGGCGGAAUGUGUUGUGUAGCGGUGAAAUGCAUAGAUAUAACACAGAACACCAAUUGCGAAGGCAGCUUACUAAGCUACAACUGACACUGAAGCACGAAAGCGUGGGGAUCAAACAGGAUUAGAAACCCCGGUAGUCC
rnacentral:rRNA from 1 species